UACAGAGGUCUCAACCGUUGUUCGGAUUCAUUGGGCGUAAAGGGUGCGUAGGCGGUCGCGUAAGUCAGGUGUGAAAUCCCGGGGCUCAACCCCGGAACUGCACUUGAUACUGCGUGGCUAGGGUACUGGAGAGGAGACUGGAAUUCACGGUGUAGCAGUGAAAUGCGUAGAUAUCGAGAGGAACACCUGCGGCGAAGGCGGGUUGCUGGGCCGACACUGACGCUGAUGCGCGAAAGCCAGGGGAGCGAACGGG
rnacentral:rRNA from 1 species